rnacentral:misc_RNA from 1 species
GAUGAAGAACUAGCGAAAUGCGAUAAGUAAUGUGAAUUGCAGAAUUCAGUGAAUCAUCGAAUCUUUGAACGCACAUUGCGCCCGCCAGUAUUCUGGCGGGCAUGCCUGUCCGAGCGUCAUUUCAACCCUCGAACCCCUCCGGGGGGUCGGCGUUGGGGACCUCGGGAGCCCCUAAGACGGGAUCCCGGCCCCGAAAUACAGUGGCGGUCUCGCCGCAGCCUCUCCUGCGCAGUAGUUUGCACAACUCGCACCGGGAGCGCGGCGCGUCCACGUCCGUAAAACACCCAACUUCUGAAAUGUUGACCUCGGAUCAGGUAGGAAUACCCGCUGAACUUAAGCAUAUCAAUAAGCGGAGGA